rnacentral:rRNA from 1 species
CACGUAGGGGGCAAGCGUUGUCCGGAUUUAUUGGGCGUAAAGAGCUCGUAGGUGGUUCGGUAAGUCGGGUGUGAAACCUCCAGGCUCAACCUGGAGACGCCACCCGAUACUGCUGUGACUGGAGUCCGGUAGGGGAGCGUGGAAUUCCUGGUGUAGCGGUGAAAUGCGCAGAUAUCAGGAGGAACACCAAUGGCGAAGGCGGGUCUCUGGACAGUUCCUGACGCUGAGGCACGAAGGCCAGGGGAGCAAACGGG